rnacentral:rRNA from 1 species
UUGCACGCUGGCGGCAUGCUUUACACAUGCAAGUCGAACGGCAGCGCGGGCUUCGGCCUGGCGGCGAGUGGCGAACGGGUGAGUAAUACAUCGGAACGUGCCCAGUAGUGGGGGAUAGCUCGGCGAAAGCCGGAUUAAUACCGCAUACGACCUGAGGGUGAAAGCGGGGGAUCUUCGGACCUCGCGCUAUUGGAGCGGCCGAUGGCAGAUUAGCUAGUUGGUGGGGUAAAGGCCUACCAAGGCGACGAUCUGUAGCUGGUCUGAGAGGACGACCAGCCACACUGGGACUGAGACACGGCCCAGACUCCUACGGGAGGCAGCAGUGGGGAAUUUUGGACAAUGGGCGAAAGCCUGAUCCAGCAAUGCCGCGUGUGUGAUGAAGGCCUUCGGGUUGUAAAGCACUUUUGGCGGGAACGAAAAGGACUGUGCCAAUACCACGGUUCGAUGACGGUACCCGCAGAAUAAGCACCGGCUAACUACGU